rnacentral:lncRNA from 1 species
GUCAUGUAACACUGAAAUAUUUUUAAAAGGUAACUUCUGGCUUCCCCAUUGUAAACCAUAGAAAAGUGAAAUUUAUAAUAAUAAAUUAUUUAUAGUUUAUAAUAGGUUUAUAAUAGGUGAAGAUUUCAUCUCUGUCACUGAGUACCAAAUUAGGUCGUUAAGAAUCUGUUGGUUUUUACUACACACCACUCAGAUAUAUUUAUGAAUAUGAAUUUGUCACAAUGCUUAUCCACAUGACUUAAUUGCAUUUUUGCAUAUAAUUCUAUGUAAUGGUGCUUUCAUUGAUGGGGAUUGAGUGAGAGUGGACUAGGGCCUGUGUGCAGGAAGGACAAUAGCAGUGGGAACAGUCACAAGCAACCUUCUGCUUCGGUUUUCCAUUUGUAAGUCAACAGUUACAAACUUACCUAAAAUUGCUCGUAUUUGUAUUCUGUAUGAUAUCACUGACUGUCUAUAGUAAUGCAAGGAGACUAGUACAUUGAGAUUUUAAUAGGGAUCUGAAGACACCAACAAGGCUUAUGGUUACUUGGUAGGCACACACCAAUGCACUGAAAUUUGAGUCAGAAAAGAACCAACUCAAGCAAAAUAGAAGAAGGAGGAGGAAGAGGAGGGAAAUAGUUUCAUCUCUAGGAAUUGUCUUAGAGACUCACUCCUUUUCUGAGUUCUAAAAGCAAUAUUCUUUUGUUUCUUUGUAGGGGAUGUAUAUGUCUUAUGGACAAAAUUAGAUGUAUGUCUUUUGCUUCUUUGUUAUCUGUGUGAUGCAUGGCAUCUUCAUUGCACAUUGCUUUGUAAAAAUACUAGUUUGUGUGACUACUGAACACUAACCAAAAUGGUCCUGAUGCAAAACAUGAACCUGAGGAUUUCACAUACAAACUCAACUGUGCAGAUAGCAAGCCAGAGCUGCUGUGAAACAUGAAGAGGUCAGAAAGGGACUAUGAAAGGGUGCCAUGUGAUGAAUGGAACUUUCAGCUCCCCCUGAUGCGUGACCAGCAUCCUGAGGGACCCCUUCCUUAGAUCACCCUGUGAUAGGGCCAGCCUGGGCUACAAAUCAAGUUCCAGGACAUCCAGGGACACACAGAGAAACCCUGUCUCCAGAAAAGCACAAAAAAGC